UACGUAGGGUGCGAGCGUUGUCCGGAAUUAUUGGGCGUAAAGAGCUCGUAGGCGGUGUGUCACGUCGGCCGUGAAAACCUGCAGCUUAACUGUGGGCGUGCGGUCGAUACGGGCAUCACUGGAGUUCGGCAGGGGAGACUGGAAUUCCUGGUGUAGCGGUGGAAAUGCGCAGAUAUCAGGAGGAACACCGGUGGCGAAGGCGGGUCUCUGGGCCGAUACUGACGCUGAGGAGCGAAAGCGUGGGGGAGCAAACAGG
rnacentral:rRNA from 1 species